GCACUUUUGUAGCACAAUAAUAUAAUGAAUAUUUUGUGCUUCUGCAUCCCAACAGCAAGGCUCUACUAUUUUGACAAAAGUCAAAAGUGUUUCAUGUGUGUUGAAAAAUGUGUUUCUAUUAUUAACUAAAAUGAGAAGUUGUCAUGUUGCUAAGUGUGGACGUAAGAUCAGUGAUGGUGUCAAAUUGUUUCCUUUGCCACAAAACAGUGUUCGUCGUCAGCUUUGGCUUGACAAGAUUAAACGUAGGGAAGCUAAUCGUCACACCAAAAUCAAAAAUAUCUGGAUAUGCUCAAAGCAUUUCUAUGGAGGGAAACCUGCAAAAGAAAUCUACCCGAGGCAUCCAGAUUUUGUGCCAUCAUUGUUGUUAGGGAUGAGCCACUAAAAUUAAUAGAGUCAACUCACCUUUCUGUAAUUCAGGAUCAUUCUUUGCCGAUUGAUGAGCUUGAUCAACACAACAUUCCAAGUAAUUGCGAUGUAAAGGCAUUAAUUUGAUAGAUAAAAAUUUUUUGUUAUUGAUAUUACUGGCUGCGAAGAAAGAUCUGCCCAAGUACACUUAUCCUCGUAUUACCCUACAGCACAGGUACAAUGAGCGUAUAUUACACAACCAUCAACACCAAUUGCAGCCCAUGGUGAGUGAGGAGUAUCGCUGAUAGUUUGAGAUGGAGUUACCUAAUUGUGAAUUAUAACAGAAAAUAUAAUUCAUUUAAAUAAGAAACAACUUUAAGGGCUUACCUUAGCUUGAACUAAAACCACUCCUGAUGACAAACACAUUGCCAUAAAUUGUUUCAGCCACCCAUCGUUCACUGCUUGUUUUGACUCAGCUUUAAGACCUUUGUAGGCUCUCUUUGUUUUCUCAACAUCUAAAUUACUUCUGGAGAAAACUAAGUAGGCAAAUAUAUCCCCAUGAUCUAUUUUGGGAA